rnacentral:rRNA from 1 species
GACGAACGCUGGCGGCGUGCUUAACACAUGCAAGUCGAACGGAAAGGCCCUGCUUUUGUGGGGUGCUCGAGUGGCGAACGGGUGAGUAACACGUGAGUAACCUGCCCUUGACUUUGGGAUAACUUCAGGAAACUGGGGCUAAUACCGGAUAGGAGCUCCUGCUGCAUGGUGGGGGUUGGUAAGUUUCGGCGGUUGGGGAUGGACUCGCGGCUUAUCAGCUUGUUGGUGGGGUAGUGGCUUACCAAGGCUUUGACGGGUAGCCGGCCUGAGAGGGUGACCGGCCACAUUGGGACUGAGAUACGGCCCAGACUCCUACGGUAGGCAGCAGUGGGGAAUAUUGCACAAUGGGCGGAAGCCUGAUGCAGCAACGCCGCGUGCGGGAUGACGGCCUGCGGGUUGUAAACCGCUUUCGCCUGUGACGAAGCGUGAGUGACGGUAAUGGGUAAAGAAGCACCGGCUAACUACGUG